AUACAACGAAGAGUUUGAUCCUGGCUCAGGAUGAACGCUAGCGACAGGCCUAACACAUGCAAGUCGAGGGGCAACAUGGUAUCAGCUUGCUGAUACCGAUGGCGACCGGCGCACGGGUGAGUAACGCGUAUGUAAUCUACCUGUAACAGAGGGAUAACCCGGAGAAAUCCGGACUAAUACCUCAUAGCACAUAUUAUUCGCAUGAAUUUUAUGUUAAAGAGACUCGGUUACAGAUGAACAUGCGUUCCAUUAGCUAGUUGGCGGGGUCACGGCCCACCAAGGCAACGAUGGAUAGGGGUUCUGAGAGGAAGGUCCCCCACACUGGUACUGAGACACGGACCAGACUCCUACGGGAGGCAGCAGUGAGGAAUAUUGGUCAAUGGGCGGAAGCCUGAACCAGCCAAGUCGCGUGGAGGAAGACGGCCCUACGGGUUGUAAACUCCUUUUACCUGGGAAUAACGGGCGCUACGUGUAGCGCUGUGCAUGUACCGGGAGAAUAAGCAUCGGCUAAUUCCGUGCCAGCAGCCGCGGUAAUACGGAAGAUGCGAGCGUUAUCCGGAUUUAUUGGGUUUAAAGGGUGCGUAGGCGGAAGAAUAAGUCAGCGGUGAAAUGCUUCAGCUCAACUGGAGAAUUGCCGAUGAAACUGUUUUUCUAGAGUAUAAAAGAGGUAUGCGGAAUGCGUGGUGUAGCGGUGAAAUGCAUAGAUAUCACGCAGAACCCCGAUUGCGAAGGCAGCAUACUGGGCUAUAACUGACGCUGAAGCACGAAAGCGUGGGUAUCGAACAGGAUUAGAUACCCUGGUAGUCCACGCCGUAAACGAUGAAUACUAACUGUUUGCGAUAUAAUGUAAGCGGUACAGCGAAAGCGUUAAGUAUUCCACCUGGGGAGUACGCCGGCAACGGUGAAACUCAAAGGAAUUGACGGGGGCCCGCACAAGCGGAGGAACAUGUGGUUUAAUUCGAUGAUACGCGAGGAACCUUACCCGGGCUCAAACGACAGGGGAAUAAUCCCGAAAAGGAUUAGCCAGCAAUGGUCGCUGUCGAGGUGCUGCAUGGUUGUCGUCAGCUCGUGCCGUGAGGUGUCGGCUUAAGUGCCAUAACGAGCGCAACCCUUACCGGUAGUUACUAACAGGUCAAGCUGAGGACUCUACCGGGACUGCCAGCGCAAGCUGUGAGGAAGGUGGGGAUGACGUCAAAUCAGCACGGCCCUUACGUCCGGGGCGACACACGUGUUACAAUGGCAGGUACAAAGAGUCGCGACGUAGCAAUACGUAGCCAAUCCCAAAAACCUGUCUCAGUUCGGAUCGGAGUCUGCAACUCGACUCCGUGAAGCUGGAUUCGCUAGUAAUCGCGCAUCAGCCAUGGCGCGGUGAAUACGUUCCCGGGCCUUGUACACACCGCCCGUCAAGCCAUGGGAGCCGGGAGUACCUGAAGUAUGCAACCGCAAGGAGCGUCCUAGGGUAAUACUGGUGACUGGGGCUAAGUCGUAACAAGGUAGCCGUACCGGAAGGUGCGGCUGGAACACCUCCUUUCUGGA
rnacentral:rRNA from 1 species